rnacentral:rRNA from 1 species
CUUUUGAUGGCGACCGGCGCACGGGUGAGCAACACGUAUCCAACCUGCCUCAUACUCGGGGAUAGCCUUUCGAAAGAAAGAUUAAUACCCGAUGUUAUAGUCCUACCGCAUGAUGGGAUUAUUAAAGAAUUUCGGUAUGGGAUGGGGAUGCGUUCCAUUAGUUAGUUGGCGGGGUAACGGCCCACCAAGACAACGAUGGAUAGGGGUUCUGAGAGGAAGGUCCCCCACAUUGGAACUGAGACACGGUCCAAACUCCUACGGAAGGCAGCAG